UACGUAGGGUGCGAGCGUUGUCCGGAAUUACUGGGCGUAAAGAGCUCGUAGGCGGCUGUUCAAGUCGAACGUGAAAACUCGGAGCUCAACUCCGAGCCUGCGUUCGAUACUGGACGGCUAGAGUCUGGUAGGGGGACCUGGAAUUCCUGGUGUAGCGGUGGAAUGCGCAGAUAUCAGGAGGAACACCGGUGGCGAAGGCGGGGUCCUGGGCCAGUACUGACGCUGAGGAGCGAAAGCGUGGGGAGCAAACAGG
rnacentral:rRNA from 1 species